rnacentral:ncRNA from 1 species
CAAAGGCUUGGUCCUGACUUUACUAUCAACUUUAGCCAAAUUUACACAUGCAAGUAUCCGCCACCCCGUGAGAAUGCCCUCACCUCCCCGUCCGGGAAAGAGGAGCAGGUAUCAGGCACUUCCCUCCGCCCACUACGCCUUGCUAAGCCACACCCCCAAGGGACUUCAGCAGUGAUAAACAUUAAGUAUAAGUGAAAACUUGACUUAGUCAAGGCUAACAGGGCCGGUAAAACUCGUGCCAGCCACCGCGGUUAUACGAGAGACCCAAGUUGAUAACUCCCGGCGUAAAGUGUGGUUAAGGAAAACCUAGAACUAAAGCCGAACACCCUCAAAGCUGUUAUACGCAUCCGAGGGCAUGAAGAACCACCACUAAAGUGACUUUAAUACCAUCCUGAACCCACGAAAGCUAAGACACAAACUGGGAUUAGAUACCCCACUAUGCUUAGUCCUAAACCUUGAUAGACCUACACACCCACUAUCCGCCCGGGUACUACGAGCACCAGCUUAAAACCCAAAGGACUUGGCGGUGCUUUAGACCCCCCUAGAGGAGCCUGUUCUAGAACCGAUAACCCCCGUUUAACCUCACCCCUCCUAGUUCCUUCCGCCUAUAUACCGCCGUCGUCAGCUUACCCUGUGAAGGCCCCAUAGUAAGCAAAAUUGGCAAAACCCAAAACGUCAGGUCGAGGUGUAGCGCAUGAAGGGGGAAGAAAUGGGCUACAUUUUCUUAGUCAGAAAAUACGAAAAGUGUGCUGAAACACACACCUAAAGGAGGAUUUAGCAGUAAGCAGUAAAUAGAGUGUUCUGCUGAAACCGGCCCUGAAGCGCGCACACACCGCCCGUCACUCUCCCCAAGCCCUCCAAAUUUUAUAUUUAAAAACAUACAAACGCAGAGGGGAGGCAAGUCGUAACAUGGUAAGUGUACCGGAAGGUGUGCUUGGAAAAAU